rnacentral:piRNA from 1 species
GGUAAUGAUGACUUCUGGUGAUUCUGAGU